AGGACGAACGCUGGCGGCGUGCUUAACACAUGCAAGUCGAGCGGAAAGGCCCUUCGGGGUACUCGAGCGGCGAACGGGUGAGUAACACGUGAGUAAUCUGCCCCUAGCUCUGGGAUAGCUCCGGGAAACCGGGAUUAAUACCGGAUACAACCACUUUAGACAUCUUUUGUGGUGGAAAGAAUUUUGGCUAGGGAUGAACUCGCGGCCGAUUAGCUAGUUGGUGGGGUAACGGCCCACCAAGGCGUCGAUCGGUAGCUGGUCUGAGAGGAUGAUCAGCCACACUGGGACUGAGACACGGCCCAGACUCCUACGGGAGGCAGCAGUGGGGAAUAUUGGACAAUGGGCGCAAGCCUGAUCCAGCAAUGCCGCGUGGGUGAAGAAGGUCUUCGGAUUGUAAAGCCCUUUCGGCGGGGACGAUGAUGACGGUACCCGCAGAAGAACGCCCCGGCUAACUUCGUGCCAGCAGCCGC
rnacentral:rRNA from 1 species